AACCAGAUCUAUCUGUGUAUAGAGCAUGUAAUGUAUAGUAAAACUAUGAAAUAUCUAGCUGUUUGUAUGCGCUGAGUCAUUUGAUAUUUCCCUGUUUUGAUUUGUAUGCACAUAAGGUCAUAUUCCCGCUCAAGUAGUUUUCAGCAGUGCUCCAGCAUAUCCGCAACCAGAAACUAGAGUUGCCACAAGUUCAUCUUCGAUUACUGCUUAUAAUGGUCCUACCACAUCCUUAGCUCCAUCAACUUCUGCACAUGAAAGCCAGGUAGCCUUUAAUAAUUGAGUUGAAAUACCAUGUCCUGUUGGUCGCUAAAGAAAAAUCUAAUUUUGUUUUUCCUAAUUUGGUACAACUAUGUCCUAUUUGCAUCACAAGUACUAAAAAUAUGGUUUUUGGGGACAUCAGACAUUCUGUGAUUCUGGAGAGUUACUGGAUGCUUGCCCAAUUUGCAGACGUUCUAUUCAGACCAGAAUAAGGCUUUACUGAAAAGAUUUUUCAAUUUCUCUGAAGUUUUUUAAGGUGGUAGUAUUAGCCUCCCAUUAGUUUCUAGAGGUGUGAUGUGAGACUUACAAAACUGUCGGCGAUUAGCCCAGUGACUAACACUGAACGCUGAUGCAUGGAUUUGUGACUUGAUUGGUUAGAUUCCCGCUUUAGUGAAUGAUUCAGCUAAAAUGUUUAAAGAUAGUAUUUAUGUAAAGUUGUCUUUGUUUAUUUGUUGAUCUUGGCUUCAUUUAUCCUCACCACAGCCCACAAGUGGCACUCUUGUUAGUUUAUUAGCUUUUCCUGUAAUUUGGCUCUGUUGAGCUCGAGACAACCAUAAAUUGAUGUAAAUACUACUUUUAUUGUUUCUGUUACCUAAUAAGGCAUUCCUUCUUCAGAGAAACAACAAUAACAACGUGCCAUUAUCUUAAUGCCGGG